AACAGCCCCCACCUUCUCCUUCCCCUCGCUCUAUCGUUCCCCUCACUCUCUCCACUCCCGCACACGCAAAUCCCUAAUCUCGGCCGAGUCACCCACUCCACUCCCUCCGCUGUCGCCCCCACAGCCGCCACAACCAGCGAACUCGUCUCCCACCACUACCCCCUCUCGUCCCCUCCCCUCUACUCAUCCGACGGCGCUGACCGCGCAGAUCGAGCGACCAGGCGGCGGCCACAUGCGCACACAACCGGCGACCAACAUCACGCAAAGGUCACCACCGCCGUCGCCGAAGGGCGGUCUUCUUCCACCUCGACGGACGAGCUUGCGCGCCAGGAGAGGAGCGGGGAUCCUGCGCUUCUUCCUCGCUCAGCGCCCCUGUCGCCAUGCCAUGGAUGGACCUCCCUCUGCUCUCACCAAGGCCAUGUACCGAGCUUGCUCUCCUCCUCGAGAUAUUAUCCUCCAAGCUAUAUGAUAUGGACAACACAUGAUUUAUGGAACGAAAAGAGCCGAGCAUAGUGUGCUGCCGCGCCGUCGAUUUCCACGAAGUAGCCAGCCCGAGCCGAUUCCCCAAUGUGUCAAUGACUACGGCCGCUGCGUGAUCCUGUGGGACAUGACCAAUCCAUUGCCUUAUCAACACAUGGAGGGUGAAUUGAGUUCAGAGCUUUGAGCAAACGAUUGCGAUUUUGUAGCUGCAGUGGUGCUAUUCUUUAUCAUUUGGCAGAUGAAGGCCGUCGAAGAUCACAAGCGCAGCUUGCUAUUGUACAGGUUUGGAAUUUAGAAAGGUGACCUAUUUUCAUGUGAACUUACCUAUUCUUUGCUAUUCAGAAUAAUUCUUUAUCUUCCCAUUGCUGUGUUAAUUGAUUCAUAUGCGGUUGUGCUAUUCUGACAAGGAUGUCCAUCAAGGUUGUUUGGAGGGACAUAAUGAAACCUCACAAGUUAUACUUUGCUGAUUCUUUCAGAGAAUUGUUUCAUUACUAAUGCGCUGUCGCGGGCAUGUAUUAAUCCCAAAUUCCAAAUCACUUUGGAAUCCAGUCAAAAUCCAGUGAAAAUCACUUUGGAAUCCUUCUCCGUAAUUGAUUCGCAAAGUACUCUCAAGGACUGCUCUGAACCUCAAAUAUCCUGGGCACAUGAAGUUGUGGUGUAAUUUUUACAGAAACAGUGAUUCAGGCAGCAAGCAUGAUGGAAUCAGAACUUUCCUAAUACUCCUACAUCGCAAAUCACCACAUAUUCCAUUGAUGAGAUAUGGGUGUUGAGGAUGCUCUCAUUGCGCAUGGAGGAGAAGGCGCUAUGGGUGUUGAGGAUGCUCUCAUUGCGCAUGGAGGAGAAGGCGCUCUUGAUCUAGAGACGAGCAGCGACGGCGCCGCGGCCCAGCAGGCGGCCAACUGAGAACAUCCGCCUUCGCUGUGCACCUGGGGUCCUAGUUUCCAUAUGUUAGCACAAUUCCAUGUUCUGGUAGCUAUUUGGUCAGUGUGUAAGGGUGAUCAAUGGGCCUGGAGUGCCCUGUUAGGUGUCUAUUCCAUGUGCCAGGAUGUUGUACGUGCCUGGAGUAGUUGUGUUGGCCUCUGGCCAUGUAUCCAAACUGUGCAAGAGCUGCGUUUGCAGAAGAUGCUUCUCCCAGUUGCCCCCAGACCGCAUGUUGUUGCUGUGUGUGUGACUGCUUGCUCUGCUUCCACUAUGAAGUCAGACUACAAGGUGCCCUAUGUUUGA